rnacentral:lncRNA from 1 species
UCAUUCUAAGAUAACUUGAAUAUUUGAUGAUAAAUCUUAAAAUCCACUUUAAAAUAUGGUAUUAGGAUUCUAUAAAAUGAAUAAUAAUAAAAUUACUAUGAAUGAAUGUAGACGGUUGCUUCUCUCUCUCUUCUCACCGUUCUCUCUCUCUGGAUCUUUCACGGGAGAAGAAGAGAUGAGAAGCUUCACUUUCGAUUCAAUCUUAUGAUUGAAUCGAUCCUUUUGGGUGUAAAUAUUUUCGAUUUGCGGAUCGAUUUUGUGUUUUCGCAAGGCGAAUUCUCUUCGCUAAGGCGAUUUAGUUUCGCAUAAAGCGAUUUUGAUGUGUAGCAGUUUCAUCCAAAUCGAACUGUUUAUCAAUCUUAUCUUUCUUCGAUUUGAGUUGAAACAUAAAUAAACCUUUUAGAUCGGUUCUUCUCCUCUGUUUUUACUUAAUAUACCGUCUGAUUAAGAAGUUUAUUUUCUCUUAUUAGUUAGAUAUGCUCAGGUUUUGAUUCGGAGAUGGUGUCAUCCUUUGUUUCGAGUUCGAGCAAAGUCUCCACGAUGAUCAAAACCUCAGAUUUGGAACGUGCUCUGAAGAUUCAAGGUUGAAUCCAGAUGAGUCAGAGCUACCUUAAGGGCUAGCGUUCUGACAAGAUUCUAUUUUUGAUUCUACUGAAGCUUUUCCCUGGAUAAACUCUAGCAAUUGGAGAAGACGAUCUUGACAUCGACGGCGAUUGGAGGUAUGAAGAACGUACAAGCAGCCUCAAACAAGUUUCGAGAUGAAGAUCGGCGAGUUUUUCGGCGAGGUUCCGGCACCGCCUUUUUCUUUCACGGAUUGGAAGAGAUGAAGCCACGAGUUGACCACGUGUUCAACAUGCAAUCUAUCAUUAUCUUUAAGAUUUGGACUUCAUUUGGGCUAGAUUGUAUUCUGAGACUGUUUGUAAGAAUGCCCUAAUUUAUUGAUAAAGACAAGAUAAAAAAAAAAAAAAAAAAAAAAAAAAAGAAUGUAGACGGUUGACUAAUUAUGAAAAGUAUUUUUUUUAUUGAUAAGGCAUG